rnacentral:rRNA from 1 species
UGAACGCUGGCGGCGUGCCUAACACAUGCAAGUCGAACGGUAAGGCCCCUUCGGGGGUACACGAGUGGCGAACGGGUGAGUAACGCGUGGGUAAUCUACCUAAAAGUGGGGGAUAGCCUCGGGAAACCGAGGGUAAUACCGCAUACGUCCCAGACGACGCGAGUCGACUGGGGGAAAGACGGGGAUCUUCGGACCUGUCGCUUUUGGAUGAGCCCGCGUCCGAUUAGCUUGUUGGUGAGGUAAUGGCUCACCAAGGCUUCGAUCGGUAGCCGGCCUGAGAGGGUGAUCGGCCACAUUGGGACUGAGACACGGCCCAGACUCCUACGGGAGGCAGCAGUGGGGAAUUUUGGGCAAUGGGGGAAACCCUGACCCAGCGACGCCGCGUGGGGGAUGAAGGUCUUCGGAUUGUAAACCCCUGUCAGGUGGGAAGAAGGAUGAAUCGGUUAAUACCCGGUACAUUUUGACGGUACCACCAAAGGAAGCCCCGGCUAACUCC